rnacentral:rRNA from 1 species
AUUGAACGCUGGCGGCGUGCUUAACACAUGCAAGUCGAUCGGUAACAGGUGUAGCAAUACAUGCUGACGAGAGGCGGACGGGUGAGUAAUGCUUGGGAAUCUGCCUAUUAGUGGGGACAACCCGGGGAACUCGGGCUAAUACCGCAUACGCUCUACGGAGGAAAGCCGGGACCGCAAGGCCUGGCGCUAAUAGAUGAGCCCAAGUCGGAUUAGCUAGUUGGAGGGUACGGCCUACCAAGGCGACAAUCCGUAGCUGGUCUGAGAGGACGACCAGCCACACCGGAACU